CUUUCAUGUUCAGAGGGUUUCAUGUUACUGUCCAUUUCUGUUUUCUGGACAUCAGCUUCAACUGGGCUGGAAAGCUUUUUCAGAAGUUCUUCAACUUCUAAACGCUCCUGUGGACACAACACAAUACAAUAAGGCUCACUGAUUUUGACAUCAGCCCCUCCCUCUCCAACUGGACCUUGGACUUUCUCUCUAACAGUCCAAACUCAUUUUAAACACUGGUGUUCCACAGGGCUAUAUGCUAAGCCCAAUCCUGUACUCCCUCUUCAUCUAUGACUGCACCUGUACAUGGCUCUAACUCUAUAAUCAAGUUUGCAGAUGACACCACGGUGAUAGGCCUUAUAAGUGGUGAUGACGAGAUGGCCUACAGGGAAGAGUUUUAGCCCCUGUAGGGUGGUGUGCCAACAACAAUCUGGCACUCAACACACAGAAGACCACAGAGUUGAUUAUGGACCACCGGCAGUCUAGGAAAGAUGACACACCUUUUCAUCUACAUUGAUGGAGCCAAAGUGGAACAUGUGACUAGCUUUAAGUUCCUUGGUGUCCAUAUCUCUGAAGAUUAUUCCUGGACACCUCCACUCUCA